GAUAUUAUGAAUAAUAUCACAGUCAGUGUACACGCAUGGUGUGUACAUGGUGUACUCAUCCAUUGUGAUGUUAGGAGUAACAU
rnacentral:miRNA from 1 species